GCUUGUGUGGCCAUUCUAGUGUGGAUAUAGAGGAGGAUCCUGAUGUGAAAGAUACUAUGACAAUGAGAGAGAUCAUCACGUGGGAAGAGCAACGGAUUGAUGAAAAGGUCGACUUUAACCUCUGUAAGAUUGACCCUGCCUCUGUACAGAUAUUAGAAAAAACCUCCCUGUAGAAGGU